rnacentral:rRNA from 1 species
UCGAGCGGACCGAUGGGAGCUUGCUCCCUGAUGUUAGCGGCGGACGGGUGAGUAACACGUGGGUAACCUGCCUGUAAGACUGGGAUAACUCCGGGAAACCGGGGCUAAUACCGGAUGCUUGAUUGAACCGCAUGGUUCAAUUAUAAAAGGUGGCUUUUAGCUACCACUUACAGAUGGACCCGCGGCGCAUUAGCUAGUUGGUGAGGUAACGGCUCACCAAGGCAACGAUGCGUAGCCGACCUGAGAGGGUGAUCGGCCACACUGGGACUGAGACACGGCCCAGACUCCUACGGGAGGCAGCAGUAGGGAAUCUUCCGCAAUGGACGAAAGUCUGACGGAGCAACGCCGCGUGAGUGAUGAAGGUUUUCGGAUCGUAAAACUCUGUUGUUAGGGAAGAACAAGUACCGUUCGAAUAGGGCGGUACCUUGACGGUACCUAACCAGAAAGCCACGGCUAACUACGUGCCAGCAGCCGCGGUAAUACGUAGGUGGCAAGCGUUGUCCGGAAUUAUUGGGCGUAAAGCGCGCGCAGGCGGUUUCUUAAGUCUGAUGUGAAAGCCCCCGGCUCAACCGGGGAGGGUCAUUGGAAACUGGGGAACUUGAGUGCAGAAGAGGAGAGUGGAAUUCCACGUGUAGCGGUGAAAUGCGUAGAGAUGUGGAGGAACACCAGUGGCGAAGGCGACUCUCUGGUCUGUAACUGACGCUGAGGCGCGAAAGCGUGGGGAGCGAACAGGAUUANAUACCCUGGUAGUCCACGCCGUAAACGAUGAGUGCUAAGUGUUANAGGGUUUCCGCCCUUUAGUGCUGCAGCAAACGCAUUAAUCACUCCGCCUGGGGAGUACGGUCGCAAGACUGAAACUCA